rnacentral:rRNA from 1 species
GUAGGUGGCAAGCGUUGUCCGGAAUUAUUGGGCGUAAAGCGCGCGCAGGUGGUCCUUUAAGUCUGAUGUGAAAGCCCACGGCUCAACCGUGGAGGGUCAUUGGAAACUGGGGGACUUGAGUACAGAAGAGGAAAGCGGAAUUCCACGUGUAGCGGUGAAAUGCGUAGAGAUGUGGAGGAACACCAGUGGCGAAGGCGGCUUUCUGGUCUGUAACUGACGCUGAGGCGCGAAAGCGUGGGGAGCAAACAGGGAUUAGAUACCCUGGUAGUCCACGCCGUAAACGAUGAGUGCUAAGUGUUAGGGGGGUUUCCGCCCCCUUAGUGCUGCAGCUAACGCAUUAAGCACUCCGCCUGGGGAGUACGGCCGCAAGGCUG